rnacentral:rRNA from 1 species
AGUGAACGCUGGCGGUAGGCCUAACACAUGCAAGUCGAACGGCAGCACAGUAAGAGCUUGCUCUUACGGGUGGCGGGUGGCGGACGGGUGAGGAAUACAUCGGAAUCUACUUUUUCGUGGGGGAUAGCGUAGGGAAACUUACGCUAAUACCGCAUACGACCUACGGGUGAAAGCAGGGGAUCUUCGGACCUUGCGCGAUUGAAUGAGCCGAUGUCGGAUUAGCUAGUUGGCGGGGUAAAGGCCCACCAAGGCGACGAUCCGUAGCUGGUCUGAGAGGAUGAUCAGCCACACUGGAACUGAGACACGGUCCAGACUCCUACGGGAGGCAGCAGUGGGGAAUAUUGGACAAUGGGCGCAAGCCUGAUCCAGCCAUACCGCGUGGGUGAAGAAGGCCUUCGGGUUGUAAAGCCCUUUUGUUGGGAAAGAAAAGCAGCAGGUUAAUACCCCGCUGUUCUGACGGUACCCAAAGAAUAAGCACCGGCUAACUUCGUG